rnacentral:rRNA from 1 species
UACGUAGGGUCCGAGCGUUGUCCGGAAUUAUUGGGCGUAAAGGGCUCGUAGGCGGUCUGUCGCGUCGGGAGUGAAAACUUACAGCUUAACUGUGAGCGUGCUUCCGAUACGGGCAGACUUGAGGUAUUCAGGGGAGAACGGAAUUCCUGGUGUAGCGGUGAAAUGCGCAGAUAUUAGGAAGAACACCGGUGGCGAAGGCGGCCCACUGGUCCGGUACUGACGCUGAGGUGCGAAAGCGUGGGGAGCAAACAGG